rnacentral:rRNA from 1 species
GACGAACGCUGGCGGCGUGCUUAACACAUGCAAGUCGAACGGAAAGGCCCUGCUUUUGUGGGGUGCUCGAGUGGCGAACGGGUGAGUAACACGUGAGUAACCUGCCCUUGACUUUGGGAUAACUUCAGGAAACUGGGGCUAAUACCGGAUAGGAGCUCCUGCUGCAUGGUGGGGGUUGGAAAGUUUCGGCGGUUGGGGAUGGACUCGCGGCUUAUCAGCUUGUUGGUGGGGUAGUGGCUUACCAAGGCUUUGACGGGUAGCCGGACUGAGAGGGUGACCGGCCACAUUGGGACUGAGAUACGGCCCAGACUCCUACGGGAGGCAGCAGUGGGGAAUAUUGCACAAUGGGCGGAAGCCUGAUGCAGCAACGCCGCGUGCGGGAUGACGGCCUUCGGGUUGUAAACCGCUUUCGCCUGUAACGAAGCGUGAGUGACGGUAAUGGGUAAAGAAGCACCGGCUAACUACGUG